UGAGUGUGGAUCUAAGCCAUUCACUUUGCUGU
rnacentral:piRNA from 1 species